AACGCACCUUGCGCUCCUUGGCAUUCCAAGGAGCAUGCCUGUUUGAGUGUCACGUGAAUAUCUCACUCCUCUUAGGGGGAGUGGACUUGGACCGUGCCGUCGACCCAGUCGACGGCUCGUCUCGAAAUGCAUUAGCCUGCAGAGUUUCGCUUGGCCGCUGGUGUGAUAAUUGUCUACGCCGUUGCGCCGGGCGAGCCGCUCUGGGCUCACAAUGACCUAUUCUUUAACGCUCUGGCCUCAAAUCAGGUAGGACUACCCGCUGAACUUAA
rnacentral:misc_RNA from 1 species